rnacentral:rRNA from 1 species
GCCCACAGCUGUGCCAGCCUGAAUGUGCUGGAUCUCGUCUGAUCUCAGAAGCUAAGCAGCGUUGGGCCUGAUUAGUACUUGGAUGGGUGACUACCUAGGAAUACCAGGUGCUGUAAACA